rnacentral:snoRNA from 1 species
CGGCCCAGCCUCGUACCAGCCAGCCUCACCCGCGCCCCAGAUGAACCCCGGGGGGCCCCGGCGGGCCCCGGCCGUGCAGUAACAGGUGUGAGCAUUCAUGCAGCAUUCUGGUGGUCAUGUAUGAUACUGCACACAGCA